CCUCAGAUAUCCCUUCAAGUGGCUGCAAAUCAGUCUUGUUACAGACAAUGAUCAAAGGUUUGUUCAUAAAUAGAGACUUGAUACUAUGGAAUAGAGCAGCUUGUUGGGCAAUGCUAUAGCCACAUGAUCCUGAGAUGUCCAAGAAGAACAGCACAGCAGCUCGUAGAUGUGCCAGAGCUGUGAUACUGCACAUCUCAAUGAUAUUACGAUCUUCAAAAGGUCGGUCCAGAAUCCCUGGUGUAUCAAUGACUUGGUACCUCAAGUACUUAUAGUCUGUAUGACCCACAAAGAGCGACUUAGUGGUGAAAGCAUAAGGCUGGAC
rnacentral:misc_RNA from 1 species